AGAGCUGUGGCUCAGUGGUAGAGCAUCUGCUUUGAAUGCAGAAGGUCCUGGGUUCAACCCCUGGCAGUUCCA